GUCUCGUUAGCUCAGCGGCAGAGCGCAGGCACCAGACCGGUCCUCGGGUGUACCUGUUGUGGCAGGUUCGACUCCUGCACGAGACA
rnacentral:tRNA from 1 species